rnacentral:misc_RNA from 1 species
UUACAAUAAAAAGCAAGUAAAGAGUUUCGGAGAUGAUUAGAAAUUUAUUGACAAGAAACGCGAAAACGUCUAGAAGUAACGAGUCGUAAUAUAACAGAGAAAACUUGUGAUUACUUUGAAACUGAAAAUUUAUUAAAGCAAGAUAUAAAGAGAGUUUUCUGUCAAAAUAAUUGAAAAGAAUCAAGACCUAAAAAUAAUAAAUUUGAAGUUAUAAUAGAAACAAUAAUUUCACGGAGGUAAACCCCACGAAUCCUCAACAGAAAUUUCGCAAUACGUUACGCCACUUUGCCUUGAAAUGGCGUCUUCGACUGCAACAUAUGCAAAUUUCCAGGACAGAGUCCAAGGAUUUAUCAAUGGAUUGGGUGAUAAAUAUGAACCGUAUGUGCGUACUCAUUUGGCCAAAGUCUACAUGGUACUUGGAGCCGCAACGGCUAGUACUGCGGUAGGAGCGAUGUUACAGUUGUGGGGUGUUAUAAAUCUUGGUUUGAUAGCCGCAUUGGCCUCAUUGGGGCUUGUGUUGGGCCUACAUUUUUAUAGAGAUGAUGGAAAGAACUACUAUACACGCUUUAGCAUGUUGAUGGCAUUCGGUUUUUGUUCAGGACAGACUUUGGGACCAUUGAUGCAAUAUAUAAUAAGUAUCAAUCCAUCGAUAAUCAUAACCGCGCUAACAGGCACUGUGGUAACCUUCGUUUCACUUUCAUUGGGUGCUUUGCUAGCGGAACGAGGAAAGUAUCUUUUCCUGGGUGGAUUGCUGGUCAGUGUAAUCAAUACUAUGGCAAUAUUAAGCCUCUUCAAUAUGUUUUUCCAAUCAUAUUUUGUACAAUUGGCGCAACUUUACGUCGGUGUAUUUGUAAUGGCUGCUUUUGUGGUCUUCGAUACACAAAAUAUAGUGGAGAAAUGCCGGGCAGGAAAUCGAGAUGUUGUUCAACAUGCAUUAGAUUUGUUCUUUGAUGUUUUAAGCAUGUUUAGACGUUUAUUAAUUAUUCUAACACAAAAGCUUAAGCAUCAUUUGCUCUCAUAAACUUCCGAUUGCCGUGCUAGUUACUGAAGUUUCCUAACUAAACGUAAUAUGCAAAUCCAAUGAUGAGAAAUUUGUUUCAAAAUUUAAACACAUCACCCUACGGAGGAACGUAAACGUGAGGAGCGUCGUAAACGGAACUAACUGAAAAUACCUUCGCGGAGUGUCCAAACAUUAAUAUUUUAUAUGUUAAAUAUCUUUUCAUGAAGUAACUUAUACCCAAAUUUCAGCAUUAAUAUUAUAUUUCAAAUCCAAUACUAA